AAAGCACUUUAAAAUUUAUUUUUAUUUAGAGAUACAGCAUGGAAUAGGCCAUCCAGCAACCCAUCUAUUUAACCCUAGCCUAAUCACAAGACGAUUUGCAAUGACCAAUUAACCUACUUUGGACUGUGGGAGCACCCAGACCCACAUGGUCAUGGGAAGGACGUACAAACUUCUUGCAGAUGGUGUCAGAACUGAACUCUGAACUCCUUCGCCCCCACCUGUAAUAAUGUUGCACUAACCACUGUGCUACUGAGGAACCUGACUGCAUCAACUAACUUCCUCGCCCCUGAAAAAGCCCUACCAUUUACACAUUCAGAAUCAGGUUUUUGACAUACGUGUUGCUUCACAACACAUAAAUACUACGAGUUGCCCCAAUAAAAAGUAUUUAAAAUAUAAAUACGUAGUGCAAAAGGAGAGCUCACUGUCUGCUCAGAAAUCUGAUGUCACAGGGGAAAAGCUGUUUCUGAAUUGUUGUGUAUGUGUCUUCAGGCUCCUGUACUUCCUCUGAUGGUGGCAAUGACAAGAGGCCAUGUCCUGGGUGAUAGGGUCCUUAACGAUGGAUGCUGCCUUUUUGAGACAUUGCCUUUUGAAGAUGUCCUUAAUAAUGGGGAAGCUAGAGCCCGUGAUGGAGCUGGGUGAUUCUACAGCCUUUUCCGAUCCUGUGCAGUGGUCCACCCAUACCAGAUGGUGACGCAACCAGUGAGAAUUCUCUUCUUGGUGCAUCUGUAGAGUCUUUGGUGACAAUAGCAAUAGUCAAUACUGGGACAUGGAUCCCUGAAGGGGUAAAGGUCCACCCUCUAGAAGGGUUGUAGCCCAUGUGUAUUAGGGGAAACAUCAAAACUUAAUAGUGUAUGGGAACAGGCCCUGUGGCUCACAGUAUCUGCUCCAAACAUGAUCAACUAAAGCUUUUCUGUCUGCACAUGAUCAAUAUCUCUUCAUUUAUUGGUCUAACAGCCUUUUACACAACACUAAUGCAUCUGCUUCCGAUGAGGAGAAACUUCUUCACACAGAGAGUGGUGAAUCUGUGGAAUUCUCUGCCACAGGAAACAGUUGAGGUCGGUUCAUUGGCUAUAUUUAAGAGGAAGUUAGAUAUGACCCUUGUGGCUAAAGGGAUCAGGGGGUAUGGAGAGAAAGCAGGUACAGGGUUCUGAGUUGGAUGAUCAGCCGAUCAUACUAAACGGCGGUGCAGCUCGAAGGGCUGAAUGGCCUACUCCUGCACCUAUUUUCUAUGUUUCCAUUACCACCCCCAAUAGAUCGUUCCAGGCACCCACAUUUUCACCUGACUACCUAAAUUCCACUGUCAUAUCUAUUUUCACCCCCUUUCCUCAGCAGCACAUUCCAAGCAUUUACCACUCUUUUUAAAAAAAAUCUUGCUUUGCACAUCUUUAACCUUUCCCCUCUCACCUUAAAUGCACGUCUUCUAAUUUUUGACAUUUCUUCCUUGAGACAAAAGAACCUGACUGCUUAACUUACCUAUGCUUCUGAUAGUUGCACCAAUACCAUCAGGUCUCCCCUCAGUACAUUUAUGCUACUAUAUAUCACCCUCAGAUUCAUAUUCUUGCAGGCAUUCACAGAAAAAUAAAGAAAUACAAUUUAUGAAAGGCUAUACAUAAACACAGGGUGGCAGGCUGGAGAUACUUCUCUAUCAGAGGAGGUAUAAGGUGCUCCUUCCCUCCACUCGCCUGCAGAUCACCCUUCAGCAAGGUGUAGAACCUGCCAAGCCCCUGAUCAGACACGUGAAGCAGGAGAAUUGCCAUUAUGAGCAGCAAGUGCUUACCAUUAGUCCUGGUUAUGCAACCAUUGACACCAGUCAGAGUACUGAUAAUGGCAGGGAUCACCUGUCUUGUAAAGACAUUGCCAAGAAGGCAAUAGCAAGCCACUUCUGUAGAAAAAUUUGCCAAGACCAAUCAUGGUCAUGGAAAGACUGUGAUUGCCCACUUCAUACGACACGGCACAUAAUUAAGAUGAUACACAAAGACUGACAACCAAUAUGCAAAAGAUGACAAAUUGUGAAAAUAAGUAGUAAAAUACUGAGAACAUGAAGUGUAGAGGCCUUCAAAGUGAAUCGGUAGGUUGUAGAACCAGCUCAGAUUUAAGGUGAGUGAAGUUAUUCAUGCCGAUUUAGGAGCUAGAUGGUUGAGGGGUAGUAACUGUUCCUGAACCUGGUGGUGAGAGAUAGAGUGCUUCUGUACCUCCUACAAGAGAGUAAUAGCAGGAAGAGCAUGGCCUCAAUGGUGGGGGCCCUUGAUGCUGGAUGCUGCUUUCUUGUGGCAGCACUCCUUGGUAAUAUACCAGAGCAAUUCUAUUUGCACUCCCAUACUUGUAAAUGUCUGACUAGCAUUCAAACCUGGGAUAGUUCCCUUCAGGAGUCUGGAGGAAAGCUGAUAAUGUUUUUUGUGUAUUUUUAAUGAAAAUACCAGGAAAGGAAGUUAUGCUUGGAAUGUAUCAAUCUCUGGUUAGAGCUCAUCUGGAAGGUUAUACUGGUUUUUGACAGCAUGUGAUGAAGGGAGCACAAAAAACUAAAUUAGAAUAAAAAGAUAAUAAUGUAGAAAAUUCAGAGGUGAUCCAAUUAUUGUACCUAAAAGGGAUUAAAGAAUUUAAUGGGGUGGUUGGAAUCAAAAUAUCACUCAUUGCUGACCUAACUGUGAUCAAGGGAAUGGACAGCACUGUAUAAAUAUGAGAAAAGGAGGCUGUCAAUUUAUGUUAAACACAAGAGAUUCUGCAGAUGCUGGGAAUCUUCAACAAGGAAAUCAGGACAUGAUGAAGUGUCUUGGCCUGAAAUGUCAAUUAUUUAUUUGCCUCCAUAGAUGCUGCCUGACUUGCUGAGUUCCUCUAGCAUUUUCUGUCCAUGUCACUCCCAAGGGACCAUCCCAUCAGACCCAAUGUCUAUCACUUUAUUUCUCUCUACCAGCAACUUGCUCUCUCUCCAAGCCUACCAACUUCUCUUUGACUCCACACCCUCCUGGACAAAGGAUUAAUUUACACCAUAUGGAGUAGGUCAUUCAGCCCUUUUUACCGUGCUACACCAUGAAUUAAGAUCCAGGGUUUAUUUUACCAGCAAUGCACUCACAUGUCUUAAUUCCCUCCAUGUUUGACUAGCGAGCAAUGUUUGUUUUGAAUGAAGCCUUUACAGCUCUCUGAGUGAGAGGAUAGGCUGGUGAGCCUUACAUCAGAGUGUGAAAACUAUUGAAUAUUCUCAAGUAUAGGAUUUAGAAACAUAGAAAACCAACAGCAAAAUACAAGCCCUUCGGCCUACAAUGCUGUGCCGAACAUGUACUUACUUUAGAAAUUACCCGGAUUAACCAUAGCCCUCUAUUUUUCUAAGCUCCACGUACCUAUCCAGGAGUCUCCUAAAAGACCCUAUUGUUUCCGCCUCCACCACCGUUGUCAGCAGCCUGUUCCAUGCAUUCACCACUAUCGGAGUAAAAAACUUCCCGACAUCUCCUCUGUAUCUACUUCCAAGCAGCUUAAAACUGUGCCCUCUCGUGCCAGCCACUUCAGCCCUGGGAAAAAGCCUCUGACUAUCCACACGAUCAAUGCCUCUCAUCAUCUUAUACACCUCUAUCAGGUCACCUGUCAUCCUCCAUCGCUCCAAGGAGAAAAGGCCAAGUUCAAUCAACCUAUUCUCAUAAGGCAUGCUCCCAAAUCCAGGCAACAUCCUCGUAAGUCACCUCUGCACUCUUUCGAUAGUUUCCACAUCCUUCCUGUAGUGAGGUGACCAGAACUGAGUGCAGUACCUCAAGUGGGGUCUGACCAAUGUCUUAUAUAGCUGUAACAUUACCUUUCAGCUCUUAAACUCAAUCCCACAAUUGAUGAAGGCCAAUGCACGGUAUGCCUUCUUAACCACAGUCAACCUGUGCAGCAGCUUUGAAUGUCUGAUGGACUUGGACCCCAAGAUCCCUUGAUCCUCCACACUGCCAAAAGUCUUACCAUAAAUACUGUAUUCUGCCAUCAUAUUUGACCUACCAAAAUGAACCACUUCACACUUAUCUGGAUUGAACUCCAUCUGCCACUUCUCAGCCCAAUUUUGCAUCCUAUCAAUGUCCUGCUGUAACCUCUGACAGCCCUCCAUACUAUCCAUAACACCCCCAACCUUUGUGUCAUCAGUAAACUUACUAACCCAUCCCUCCACUUCCUCAUCCAGGUCAUUUAUAAAAAUCACUAAGAGAAGGGGUCCCAGAACAGAUCCCUGAGGUACACCACUGGUCACCGGCCUCCAUGCAGAACAUGACCCAUCUACAACCACUCUUUGUCUUCUGCGAGCAAGCCAAUUCUGGAUCCACAAAGCAAGGACUCUUGGAUCCCAUGUCUCCUUGCUUUCUCAAUUAGCCUUGCUGAAAUCCAAAUACACUACAUCUACAGCUCUACCUUCUUCAAUGUGUUUAGUCACAUCCUCAAAAAAUUCAAUCAGGCUUCUAAGGCAUAACCUGCCUUUGACAAAGCCAUGCUGACUAUUCCUAAUCAUAUUAUGCUUCUCCAAAUGUUCACAUAUCCUGCCUCUCAGGAUCUUCUCCAUCAACUUACCAAACACUGAGGUAAGACUCACUGGUCUAUAAUUUCCUGGGCUAUCUCUACUCCCUUUCUUGAAUAAGGGAACAACAUCCGCAGCCCUCCGGAACCUCUCCCAUUCCCAUUGAUGAUUCAAAGAUCAUUGCCAGAGGCUCAGCAAUCUCCUCCCUUGCCUCCCACAGUAGCCUUGGGUACAUCUCAUCCAAUCCCGGAGACUUAUCCAACUUGAUGCUUUCCAAAAGUUCCUGCACGUUCUCUUUCUUACAUGCUCUACAUGCUCAAGCUUUCCAGUCUGCUGAAAGUCAUCCCUACAAAUAGCAAGAUCCUUUUCCGUAGUGAAUACUGGAACAAAGUAUUCAUUAACCAAUAACACACACAAAAUGCUGGUAGAACACAGCAGGCCAGGCAGCAUUGAUAGGGAGAAGUGCUGUCGACGUUUCAGGCCGAGACCUUUCGUCAGGACUUAUUCAUUAAGCACCUCUGUUAUCUCCUCCAGUUCCAUACACACUUUUCCACUAUCAGAUUUGAUAGGUCCUAUUCUUUCACAUCUUACCCUUUUGCUCUUCACAUACUUGGGGUUUUCCUUAAUCUUGCUCAUCAAGGCUUUCUCAUGGCCCCUUCUAGCUCUCCUAAUUUCAUUCUUAAGCUCCUUCUUGCUAGCCUUAUAAUCUUUUUUGAACCUUUUGUAAGCUUUUCUUUUCUUUGACUAGAUUUACAGCAGCCUUUGUACACCACAGUUCCUGUACCCUACCAUCCUUUCCGUCUCACUGGAACGUACUUAUGCAGAACUCCACGCAAAUAUCCCCUCAACAUUUGCCACAUUUUUGCCAUACACUUCCCUGAGAAAAUCUGUUCCUGAUUUAUGCUUCCAAGUUCCUGCCUGAUAGCUUCAUAUUUCCCCUUACUCCAAUUAAUGCUUUCUUAACUUGUCUGUUCCUAUCACUCUCCAAUGCUAUGGUAAAGGAGAUAGAAUGGUGAUCACUAUCUCCAAAAUGCUCUCCCACUGAGAGACCUGACAGCUGAUUUACUCACAUCUGGAAAAGCAUGAACUUAUUAGAAGUACUUAACAUGGCUUUGUGCAGGGAGGUCUUGUCCUAUGAAAAAAUAAGUUUUUGAGGUGCUUUUCAGGGGGUAAUGGAAAUGAUUGAUGAGGGCAGGGCAGUGGAUGUGGACUUUAGUAAAACAUUUGUCAAAAUUCGUCAUGGUAGGCUGGGAUUAAGGCACAUGGGAUACAAGAUUAUUUGGUAGACUGGAUUCAAAAUUAACUUGGCUAUAGAAGACAAGAGUGUACUAGUGGAGAUAUCUCAUUCUGAUUAGAAGUCUAUAACUAGAAAAAAGGAUCUGUGCUGAAACCACUGCUGUGUGUGAUAUAUUUGGAUAUGAAUGGUCAGCAGUAAAUAUCAUCAACUGGAAGUGGAUGGGAAACAGGUGGUUGGGAUUCUGUCGAAGACUGUAAUCUACAGUUCAAAAUAUGGUUCUUUGCAAGCAAUGUGGUUUUAAACUGACUCUGCAGCCUGGCACUUGGCUGUCUCCAGGAAGAACUUGGAUGGUCCUCUUUCUUUUGAUGGAGUGAGAGUCUGUCAGCCCCUGAGAUUGGGGGGGGGGGGGGGCUUGGAGAAGCAAUGCAAAAGACUGUAACAUUUGAACAGCAAGUUGCUGGUCUCUGCACUUGAUGCAGCAGCAACCUCUCUCUCCCUGGAUGAGAUACCAAGGUACUGUAGGUUUUGAUGGACUCCAGAUCAAUGCCUCUUUUGGGGCUUCUGCUAU